GGCUCUAUGGUGUAAUGGUUAGCACUCUGGACUUUGAAUCCAGUGAUCUGAGUUCAAAUCUCCGUAGAGUCU